rnacentral:rRNA from 1 species
ACUACUUAGGCGGUGGAUCACUCGGCUCGU